UUUAAGUAUAUAGUUGUGAUUUCUAUGUCCAACCUUUAAUCGUCUAUUUUGUUUAUUUUUUUAUGGUUUAUAUUUUUAUUAUUAUUAGAUGAUAAAGCAUGAAUAAUAUUUUAUACAUGACUUAUUUUUUUUUUAAAAAAAUAAACUUUUUAAAUAAGGCAAACGGUUAAACGUUGAUCCACAACUACACUUAGG
rfam:Oryza nivara chromosome 2, whole genome shotgun sequence.